GUGGUAAUGCCGGAUGCUCCAUCACACCGCAUGGUGUGUUGGGAAAGCCUUUGCGGCAUGGGAUGGGGUCGCGUCCUAUCAGCUUGAUGGCGGGGUAACGGCCCACCAUGGCUUCGACGGGUAGCCGGCCUGAGAGGGCGACCGGCCACAUUGGGACUGAGAUACGGCCCAGACUCCUACGGGAGGCAGCAGUGGGGAAUAUUGCACAAUGGGCGCAAGCCUGAUGCAGCGACGCCGCGUGAGGGAUGGAGGCCUUCGGGUUGUAAACCUCUUUUGUUAGGGAGCAAGGCACUUCGUGUUGAGUGUACCUUUCGAAUAAGCACCGGCUAACUACGUGCCAGCAGCCGCGGUAAUACGUAGGGUGCAAGCGUUAUCCGGAAUUAUUGGGCGUAAAGGGCUCGUAGGCGGUUCGUCGCGUCCGGUGUGAAAGUCCAUCGCUUAACGGUGGAUCCGCGCCGGGUACGGGCGGGCUUGAGUGCGGUAGGGGAGACUGGAAUUCCCGGUGUAACGGUGGAAUGUGUAGAUAUCGGGAAAGAAACACC
rnacentral:rRNA from 1 species